CGCAUCUGUGCAUGCAGCAUAUCAAUAAGCGGAGGAAAAGUCAACUACCUACGCUUAGGAUGUUGACGAGACUGUCGAUCUCAUCUAUACAUGACUCUGUGCAUAUCAAUAAGCGGAGGAAAAGAAACUAACAAGGAUUCCCUAGUAACUGGACGAGUGAAGCGGGAAGAGCUCAAAUUUGAAAUCUUAAAGGGUUUCCCUUUACGAAUUGUAGUUUAAAGAAGUGUUUUCUGUUGAGGUUUUGGUAAAAGUUCUUUGGAAUAGGACAUCAUAGAGGGUGAGAAUCCCGUAUUUGACCUUUACUUUCAACUUUGUGAUACACUUUCAAAGAGUCGGAUUGUUUGGGAAUGCAGUCCAAAAUGGGUGGUAAAUUUCAUCUAAAGCUAAAUAUUGGCGAGAGACCGAUAGCGAAGCAAGUACCGUGAGGGAAAGAUGAAAAGAACUUUGAAAAGAGAGUUAAACAGUACGUGAAAUUGUCAAAAGGGAAGCGUUUGACACCAGUGUUGUUUUUCUGAAAAUCAAUUAAAGAACUGUUUAUGCUAAGCUGUUUAGACUUUAUCAGCUAACUGUUUAGUUUUGAGCUUUUCUUUAAUGCACUUUUCAGUUAACAAGUCAACAUCAAUUUCUUUUGCUGUAAAAAAGCUUGAGGAAGGUGGCUUGAGAUUCGUCUUAAGUGUUUAUAGCCUCUUGCCUAUGCAGUCGGAGAGAUUGAGGUCUGCAGCGUAGAUCCUUCGGGGCUAAAUGCAUUUGUGCUAAGUUAUAGCAUUUUAUAGACAACUUGUUGACUAUGAUUUGUCUUGUAGCUUACUCGCUUAUGUUAUUUUACCUACGCUUAGGAUGUUGACGAGACUGUCGAUCUC
rnacentral:rRNA from 1 species